CCGGGGGAGCCCCGGGGUUUAUGUCCCACAUCACCCCCUCCCCAAAAUCAGCCGCGCUGCCAGAGCCCCCCGGGGAUGAGGAGUUGGGGGUGGGGGUCCUCCUUCCCCCCCGUGCGGGUGACAGACGGACGCACAGACACACCCCAGACUCGCACACGGGCUGUGCCUCCAGCGCGUUCUGCAGGGGAUGCUGACACCCCUCCUGUGCUGGUUUGCCCUCCGCAGGUGCUUCCCCUGCCACACUGGCUCAGCUUGCCAAGGAAAAGAAGAACCUCACUGAUUGAUUCCCUUGGAUGUGACCAUCUGUCCCAGCAGCACAUGUCCCAUCUCUUGGCAUGUCCUGCACCACACCCCUGCUGGGGCACCCGUGGGACUCUGCCCUCUGCUCCUUGCACAUCCCACCAGGUCUGGUUUAGGUGGAUCACCUGCAGAACCAGGUCUGGUUUAGGUGGAUCACCUGCAGAACCAGGUCUGGUUUAGGUGGAUCACCUGCAGAACCAGGUCUUUUUUAGGUGAACCACCUGCAGCACCAGGUCUUUCCAACACUCUCCAACCCACGAGGAGGAAAAUCCCCUUGUCGAAUUCCCAGGAUUCUGUGCCACAGUCCUGUCUCUCAGCUCAGCAUCCUCUUUUUAAUCACCCUCAUUUGCUGUAUCCAGUGACACAACCACAUCCAUGCUCUCCUCAGCCCUCGAAGAGAAAAUUUGGGUUUCCAGCCCUGCGGGUGUGCCAGCCUUUUGUGCAGGAGUAGCUGGACAAGGACCACGCCUCCUCCCCCUCCUCUGUGUCGUGCUGGGCAGAGAAAAAGGCUGCCAGAACCCAAGAAAUAAUAAAAACAGACAAAGCCAGGGCUGAGAUGUUCUGUUUCAGAGCAAUGACAGAAAGUGGAGGUGAGGCUAAAAUGAAUAAACUCCAGUUAUUGAUCCUGUUUGUUUUGAA